UUUAUAUACCCAAGAGAAUGUUGGUACCGAUCUGUGAUUGCAAAGACGGACUUUCUAUCUCUAGAAACCCAGGCCAAAUAUUUGGGGGGCUCCUUGUUUUCUGCUGGGAGGAAGUGAUUAGUGGGAGAACAUGGCCUUGUGAAGAUUGAUGGUG